UAUGUGCGCAAUGUAUAGAAUCAUGUUCGACAAAAAAUCAUUAGAAAUAUAUCAAAUUACGUUAGUUAUCAAUCUUCAUCUUAUGUCUAUUUAACCUGAACGUGUAAAAUGGUGCUUUAGAGUACCCGCAUCAUUUAUAUAAGACUACUAUAAUGAUCCUUAAUUGCAUUGCUAUAAGUAGAGCUCGAAUUGAACCACGUUUAAGAGUUCAGUUGCAAGCUAUUCAAUACAUUAGUAAGUACAAUACUGGUAUCUUAAUUUUAUUUACCAGCAUUUUCAGUUACCUCUACAAUACUGUACAACGACUACUAGAAAUAAAAAUUACUGUAUCUUUAAUCCAGUUUAAAGAGCGU